rnacentral:sRNA from 2 species
AUGUACCACGCGGACACAGCGGUUCCUGUGCGCCGUCUGCAGCCGGCUGACGACUGCUUGCGACGUUUUGCUAGCC